rfam:Lupinus angustifolius cultivar Tanjil contig_3074, whole genome shotgun sequence.
AGGGUUGAUUGCAGCCAAGAAUGACUUGUCCGAAUGCAAACAUUUCAUUACCAACAUAUGAUUGUUCUUAACCAGACAAGUUGUUCUUGGCCACACUUGACUCUCU